GGAUUAGAUACCCUGGUAGUCCAUGCUGUAAACGAUGAUCACUAGGUGUUCGGGAUUAUUCCUGAGUGCCCAAGGGAAACCGAUAAGUGAUCCACCUGGGGAGUACGUUGGCAACAAUGAAACUCAAAGGAAUUGACGGGGGCCCGCACAAGCGGUGGAGCAUGUGGUUUAAUUCGAUGAUACGCGAGGAACCUUACCUGGGCUACAAUGCCUCUGACAGCUGCCGAAAGGUGGUUUCUCUUCGGAGCAGAGUGCAAGGUGCUGCAUGGUUGUCGUCAGCUCGUGCCG
rnacentral:rRNA from 1 species